rnacentral:misc_RNA from 1 species
CCAGCAGGUAAAAGGAGCUCAGCUCCGCGGGGAGGCCGCCGCCGAACCGGUUCCUGCCGAGGACCACGGUGACCACCUUCCUCCCGAGCUUGGGGAACGCCGGGCCGAGCGAGUUGCCGCCGACGUCGAGCACCUGGAGGUUGGCCUGCCGGCUCAUGUCCGGCAGGUUCCCGGACAGGUUGUUGGACGCGAGCACGAGCGACCGCAGCGAGGGUGCGCUUCCCAGGGACUCCGGCACGGCUCCCUGGAACGUGUUGUUCCGCAGGCUCAGGACGGCCAGCGACGGCAGGGCGCCGAUCCAGGCCGGCACCUCGCCGCCCAGCAUGUUGUCGUCGAGGACCAGCGUCUGGAGGCCGGCGAGGCGCGACACGCCCCGCGGGACCUCGCCGAAGAGGUAGUUGCCGCUCAUGUUGACGAUCUCCAGCGACGCGAGGCGGCCGAGCUUGCCCGGCAGGGGGCCCCAGAGGCCGAGCCCGGACAGCGUGAGCACCUUGAGGUCGGGGAGCCUGGACAGCGUCGUGACCACGGCCCCGAUGGAGAAGUUCCUGGGCAGAGGCGGCGCGCCCGCGCCCGCGAUGUGGAGCUGCGUCACGGUGUCCCCGUAGCACAGGACGGCGGCCGAGCCCGCCGGGCCCAUGGCGCCGCCGCCGCCGCCGCAGAAGUCGGUGCUGCGGCGCCAGUGGCUGAGCAUCGGGGGGGCGUUCAGGAGCUGCUGGAUCUUGAUCAGAGUCCACACCUGCGAAGGCUGGAGCUGCGUCGUCCCCGGGAGCAACGCAAGAAGCGCCGUGAAGACGACGAGCAGGAGGUGGCUCGGCGUAGCCAUUGUCGUCGUUGGAGACGAUUUCUCGAUGAGAGGAGAGACACCGUGUGGAACGACACUGCUAUGCAAUGGAGCACAAGAAGCUUAUCGGUGGAGUUAGGCCUGUCUUUGCCUGAUCUUGGAUUGGUUUCCUCCUUCUGUGACCAAGAACGGUGAGCAUAAGGAAUAGCCAAACGUG